AUGUCUUGAAACAAUGAAUUUGAAAUAAGAGAAAAAGAAAAGAAGAAGAAAUAACGAAAGUUAGAUGAUUUUCUAGUCAAAUCUCUACAGAAUGAUUUCAAAACCACAAAUUGUUUUUGGGAAGUAGACAGUAAAGUCUUCAGCAGGGUGUCGCAAAGAUACCACAAAGAUGGUGUAGAUUCGCGCGACAAGCAUCGAUGCCAUGAGAGGGUUGCUUGUUUACAAGCGACAGUUGAUUUGACAAAGCCGUGGGUCCAUUUAUACGAGUGAAUAUUACAGGGCAAAGUCGAGGGGUGGCUUGUUAUCCGCUCAUUGAAGUUAACCACGGGGCUAAGUGCGCUGGGGAGUGCCGGUCGGUAGGAGCAAGGAGAACUAGUGACUAAAGGUUAGGUAUAUGUAUACCGACGGAGGGGAUAGCUUUGCAGUUUGUAGAGAGAAUCGGUGAAACUUCGUGAGAAACUGAGAGAGAAAAUUCAAACGGAGACAGAUACUAGCAUAGCGAAUAAGAAACAGAGAUGAAGCAACGAGGAAAGGAAAGAUAGACGAAAUACAACGAGUUGAAAAGAGAUAAAAAAGAAAAAGUGAAGUGAAAUAAAUCAAGAAAGAAAACAGAUAAUGAUGAAUGCGACUUAUUUGUGAUGUCCAUAUAUUUAAUAAAUGAUAUUUGUAAAAAUUGUUUAUAUAUUGAUGUUAAAAGAAUAUUCUGAAAUGAUUUAUGAUUACUAUGCCUAUUCUAUUGAUAAGCUUUGAAAUAAUAACCUUUGAAACGCUAAUGAAAUUAGUCCCAUCGCUAGAAGAGGGUGAUGGAACGAAAGAUGGAUAACAGCAGGGUGGCCUGGAAGAAGAUAGCGUAAGAGGGAACGUUUCGGGCUAGCUGUCUCGAUACCUCGAGAGGUACGAAGGACGCUUCGUUACUCGUUACCUGAUGCUGACGCUCGUUGCAAUAGCAAGGGAACAAUAGCGAGAUGAGAAAUAAGAAGGAGACGGAAAGAGAUAGCCAAAACGAGGACUGCUAUUGUUUCCGGUAACUCUUUCGCGGUAACGAGGAGGAACCUCAAUUAGAAUGGUUUGAGGACUUAAACGCCCAGAGGCUGCCGGGUUUUAAGAGGUAGCGAACAUUGUUUCUUUUGAGCGAUAACUCGGUGAUACUUUUAGCUAUAUCGCGAAACAUCGUGCACCAACUUCUUUGGUGGAUAAUUACUAGGCACGCUUGAGGGUAUGAUACUGUUACACUCUCUACGAAUAAGUCAUCGUUAAUGUUAUCAAAACUUUUCUUUUUAAUUGA
rnacentral:lncRNA from 1 species